rnacentral:rRNA from 1 species
UCGGGAAUUUUGGGCAAUGGGCGAAAGCCUGACCCAGCAACGCCGCGUGAAGGAUGAAGUAUUUCGGUAUGUAAACUUCGAAAGAAUAGGAAGAAUAAAUGACGGUACUAUUUAUAAGGUCCGGCUAACUACGUGCCAGCAGCCGCGGUAAUACGUAGGGACCAAGCGUUGUUCGGAUUUACUGGGCGUAAAGGGCGCGUAGGCGGCAUGACGAGUCACUUGUGAAAUCUCUGGGCUUAACCCAGAACGGCCAAGUGAUACUGUCGCGCUAGAGUGCAGAAGGGGCAAUCGGAAUUCUUGGUGUAGCGGUGAAAUGCGUAGAUAUCAAGAGGAACACCUGAGGUGAAGACGGGUUGCUGGGCUGACACUGACGCUGAGGCGCGAAAGCCAGGGGAGCAAACGGGAUUACAUACCCCAGUAGUCCCUGAGCGGGCUGGCAAGGCGCAU